rnacentral:rRNA from 1 species
CCUACGGGAGGCAGCAGUGGGGAAUAUUGGGCAAUGGGCGCAAGCCUGACCCAGCAACGCCGCGUGAAGGAAGAAGGCUUUCGGGUUGUAAACUUCUUUUCUCAGGGACGAAGAAAGUGACGGUACCUGAGGAAUCAGCCACGGCUAACUACGUGCCAGCAGCCGCGGUAAUACGUAGGGGGCAAGCGUUCCCCGGAUUUAGUGGGUGUAAAGGGGGCGUAGGCGGGAGCGCAAGUCAGAUGUGAAAACUUAGGGCUCAACCCUGGGCCUGCAUUUGAAACUGUGUUUCUUGAGUGCUGGAGAGGCAAUCGGAAUUCCGGGUGUAGCGGUGAAAUGCGUAGAGAUCCAGAGGAACACUAGUGGCGAAGGCGGACUGCUGGACAGUAACUGACGCUGAGGCGCGAAAGCGUGGGGAGCAAACAGGAUUAGAUACCCCAGUAGUC